rnacentral:rRNA from 1 species
GACAGAGGGUGCAAGCGUUGUUCGGAAUUACUGGGCGUAAAGCGCGUGUAGGCGGUGGAGUAUGUCCAAUGUGAAAUCCCUCGGCUUAACCGGGGAACUGCAUUGGAAACUACUUCGCUUGAGUGCGAGAGAGGGUGGCGGAAUUCCCAGUGUAGAGGUGAAAUUCGUAGAUAUUGGGAGGAACACCAGAGGCGAAGGCGGCCACCUGGCUCGCAACUGACGCUCAAACGCGAAAGCAUGGGUAGCAAACAGG